rfam:Lupinus angustifolius cultivar Tanjil chromosome LG06, whole genome shotgun sequence.
AAAGCAGGGAUUGUGUGUAUCGGUUUUGUGCUAUUGUAAAUGCAUUCUUCCGAAAGAUUUUCCUGCAAUAUUAUCUUGAGAAAAUGGGCAGUUGUAUUUCAUUUUUUUCUAUUGAAAGUAACAACAAUCAUUUUCCCCACAUUU